ACUGACUGAGCCUUGCCCAGACAUGGGCACUUUUCUUUUUUUCUAAUCUGGAAAGUGCUUCAUUGUUUGGGUGAGGCUCUGGUUCAGG
rnacentral:pre_miRNA from 1 species